AUAAUCACUCCCAAGAACUGCCAGUCAGUUGAAAUGCACUUCAACUCUGAUAAAAUGGCCAAAACUAUUGGAAAGCUGGCUGAAAAGACCCCUGAAGUGGGCGAAAUUGUCAGUGGUUUACUUGUGAAGAAAGGUUUCACUUACCAGAUCAUGGCACCUGAUGAUCUCCAUGUCUUUUCUCAGCUAUCCACUGCAAAUGUCACACAGAGAAUAACUAUCCCCUAUUCAGGUGCUUUUGCUGUUAUACAACACAGGCUUAAGCAGAUCUAUGAAAGUGUAGAGUCCUCAACAGAUGAGGAAUCUGGUGUACCAACUUUGCGGGUGCAUGAGCGAGUGAUGGUGAAGCAGG
rnacentral:misc_RNA from 1 species